GGAUUAGGCAUGCAAGUCGAACGAGAAAGGUUCCUUCGGGGACCGAGUACAGUGGCGAAAGGGUGAGUAAUGCAUAGAUAACCUGCCCUCGAGAUGGGAAUAACCUCGGGAAACUGGGGCUAAUACCCAAUGAGACCACGUGUCGCAAGGCAAGUGGUCAAAGAUAGCUUCGGCCUUCGCUCGAGGAGGGGUCUAUGUCCUAUUAGCUUGUUGGUGGGGUAACGGCCCACCAAGGCAACGAUGGGUAGCCGACCUGAGAGGGUGGCCGGCCACACUGGGACUGAGACACUGCCCAGACUCCUACGGGAGGCUGCAGUCGAGAAUCUUCCGCAAUGCGCGCAAGCGUGACGGAGCGACGCCGCGUGGAGGAUGAAGGCCUUCGGGUUGUAAACUCCUGUCACCUGGGAAGAAAGGUAGGUAGUUAAUAGCUGUCCUGCUUGACGUUACCAGGAGAGGAAGCACCGGCUAAAUACGUGCCAGCAGCCGCGGUAAUACGUAUGGUGCAAACGUUGUUCGGAAUCACUGGGCUUAAAGAGCACGUAGGCUGUUGAGAAAGUCUGAUGUGAAAUCCCUCAGCUCAACUGAGGAACUGCAUUAGAAACUUCUCGGCUAGAGUGCAGGAGGGGAGAGUGGAAUUCCUGGUGGAGCGGUGAAAUGCGUAGAUAUCAGGAGGAACGCCGGUGGCGAAAGCGACUCUCUGGCCUGCUACUGACGCUGAGGUGCGAAAGCUAGGGGAGCGAACGGGAUUAGAUACCCCGGUAGUCCUAGCCCUAAACGAUGGGCACUAAGUAGAGGGGUUUU
rnacentral:rRNA from 1 species